AAUCAACGCUGGCGGCGUGCCUAACACAUGCAAGUCGAACGCGAAAGUCCCGCAAGGGGCAAGUAGAGUGGCAAACGGGUGAGUAACACGUGGGUGACCUGCCUUCGAGUGGGGAUAACGUCCCGAAAGGGACGCUAAUACCGCAUAACAUCCUGUCCUUUUAAGAGGUGGACAUCAAAGCCGGGGAUCGCAAAGACCUGGCGCUUGAAGAGGGGCCCGCGCCUGAUUAGCUAGUUGGGGGUAAGUGCUCACCAAGCACAUCAGUAUCCGGCCUGAGGAGGGCGGACGGACACACUGGGACUGAGACACGG
rnacentral:rRNA from 1 species